UACGAAGGGGGCUAGCGUUGUUCGGAAUUACUGGGCGUAAAGCGCACGUAGGCGGUCUUUUAAGUCGGGGGUGAAAUCCUGGAGCUCAACUCCAGAACUGCCUUCGAUACUGGAAGACUCGAGUCCGGGAGAGGUGAGUGGAACUGCGAGUGUAGAGGUGAAAUUCGUAGAUAUUCGCAAGAACACCAGUGGCGAAGGGCG
rnacentral:rRNA from 1 species